GCACUGCUUAGGAGUCCCACAAUAGGACGAAACGGCCGUCCAAUGC
rfam:Schistosoma mansoni strain Puerto Rico chromosome 4, complete genome